GGGUUGUGAGGUUAAGCGACUAAGCGUACACGGUGGAUGCCCUGGCAGUCAGAGGCGAUGAAGGACGUGCUAAUCUGCGAAAAGCGUCGGUAAGGUGAUAUGAACCGUUAUAACCGGCGAUGUCCGAAUGGGGAAACCCAGUGUGAUUCGUCACACUAUCGUUAACUGAAUACAUAGGUUAACGAGGCGAACCGGGGGAACUGAAACAUCUAAGUACCCCGAGGAAAAGAAAUCAACCGAGAUUCCCCCAGUAGCGGCGAGCGAACGGGGAGCAGCCCAGAGUCUGAAUCAGCUUGUGUGUUAGUGGAACGGUCUGGAAAGUCCGACGGUACAGGGUGAUAGUCCCGUACACCAAAAUGCACAGGUUGUGAACUCGAAGAGUAGGGCGGGACACGUGGUAUCCUGUCUGAAUAUGGGGGGACCAUCCUCCAAGGCUAAAUACUCCUGACUGACCGAUAGUGAACCAGUACCGUGAGGGAAAGGCGAAAAGAACCCCGGCGAGGGGAGUGAAAAAGAACCUGAAACCGUGUACGUACAAGCAGUGGGAGCACCUUCGGGUGUGACUGCGUACCUUUUGUAUAAUGGGUCAGCGACUUAUAUUCUGUAGCAAGGUUAACCGUAUAGGGGAGCCGCAGGGAAACCGAGUCUUAACUGGGCGUUAAGUUGCAGGGUAUAGACCCGAAACCCGGUGAUCUAGCCAUGGGCAGGUUGAAGGUUGGGUAACACUAACUGGAGGACCGAACCGACUAAUGUUGAAAAAUUAGCGGAUGACUUGUGGCUGGGGGUGAAAGGCCAAUCAAACCGGGAGAUAGCUGGUUCUCCCCGAAAGCUAUUUAGGUAGCGCCUCGUGAACUCAUCUUCGGGGGUAGAGCACUGUUUCGGCUAGGGGGUCAUCCCGACUUACCAACCCGAUGCAAACUACGAAUACCGAAGAAUGUUAUCACGGGAGACACACGGCGGGUGCUAACGUCCGUCGUGAAGAGGGAAACAACCCAGACCGCCAGCUAAGGUCCCAAAGUCAUGGUUAAGUGGGAAACGAUGUGGGAAGGCACAGACAGCCAGGAUGUUGGCUUAGAAGCAGCCAUCAUUUAAAGAAAGCGUAAUAGCUCACUGGUCGAGUCGGCCUGCGCGGAAGAUGUAACGGGGCUAAACCAUGCACCGAAGCUGCGGCAGCGACACUAUGUGUUGUUGGGUAGGGGAGCGUUCUGUAAGCCUGCGAAGGUGUGCUGUGAGGCAUGCUGGAGGUAUCAGAAGUGCGAAUGCUGACAUAAGUAACGAUAAAGCGGGUGAAAAGCCCGCUCGCCGGAAGACCAAGGGUUCCUGUCCAACGUUAAUCGGGGCAGGGUGAGUCGACCCCUAAGGCGAGGCCGAAAGGCGUAGUCGAUGGGAAACAGGUUAAUAUUCCUGUACUUGGUGUUACUGCGAAGGGGGGACGGAGAAGGCUAUGUUAGCCGGGCGACGGUUGUCCCGGUUUAAGCAUGUAGGCUGAUUGUCCAGGCAAAUCCGGAUAAUCAAGGCUGAGGUGUGAUGACGAGGCACUACGGUGCUGAAGUAACAAAUGCCCUGCUUCCAGGAAAAGCCUCUAAGCAUCAGGUAACAUUAAAUCGUACCCCAAACCGACACAGGUGGUCAGGUAGAGAAUACCAAGGCGCUUGAGAGAACUCGGGUGAAGGAACUAGGCAAAAUGGUGCCGUAACUUCGGGAGAAGGCACGCUGGUGUGUAGGUGAAGUCCCUGCGGAUGGAGCUGAGACCAGUCGAAGAUACCAGCUGGCUGCAACUGUUUAUUAAAAACACAGCACUGUGCAAACACGAAAGUGGACGUAUACGGUGUGACGCCUGCCCGGUGCCGGAAGGUUAAUUGAUGGGGUUAUCCGUAAGGAGAAGCUCUUGAUCGAAGCCCCGGUAAACGGCGGCCGUAACUAUAACGGUCCUAAGGUAGCGAAAUUCCUUGUCGGGUAAGUUCCGACCUGCACGAAUGGCGUAAUGAUGGCCAGGCUGUCUCCACCCGAGACUCAGUGAAAUUGAACUCGCUGUGAAGAUGCAGUGUACCCGCGGCAAGACGGAAAGACCCCGUGAACCUUUACUAUAGCUUGACACUGAACAUUGAGCCUUGAUGUGUAGGAUAGGUGGGAGGCUUUGAAGCGUGGACGCCAGUCUGCGUGGAGCCAACCUUGAAAUACCACCCUUUAAUGUUUGAUGUUCUAACGUUGGCCCCUGACCGGGGUUGCGGACAGUGUCUGGUGGGUAGUUUGACUGGGGCGGUCUCCUCCCAAAGCGUAACGGAGGAGCACGAAGGUUAGCUAAUCCUGGUCGGACAUCAGGAGGUUAGUGCAAUGGCAUAAGCUAGCUUGACUGCGAGCGUGACGGCGCGAGCAGGUGCGAAAGCAGGUCAUAGUGAUCCGGUGGUUCUGAAUGGAAGGGCCAUCGCUCAACGGAUAAAAGGUACUCCGGGAUAACAGGCUGAUACCGCCCAAGAGUUCAUAUCGACGGCGGUGUUUGGCACCUCGAUGUCGGCUCAUCACAUCCUGGGGCUGAAGUAGGUCCCAAGGGUAUGGCUGUUCGCCAUUUAAAGUGGUACGCGAGCUGGGUUUAGAACGUCGUGAGACAGUUCGGUCCCUAUCUGCCGUGGGCGCUGGAGAAUUGAGGGGGGCUGCUCCUAGUACGAGAGGACCGGAGUGGACGCAUCACUGGUGUUCGGGUUGUCAUGCCAAUGGCACUGCCCGGUAGCUAAAUGCGGAAGAGAUAAGUGCUGAAAGCAUCUAAGCACGAAACUUGCCCCGAGAUGAGUUCUCCCUGAGACUAUAAGUCUCCUGAAGGAACGUUAAAGACGAUGACGUUGAUAGGCCGGGUGUGUAAGCGCAGCGAUGCGUUGAGCUAACCGGUACUAAUGAACCGUGAGGCUUAACCUUACAACGCCGAAG
rnacentral:rRNA from 1 species